UUUUAUUAUUUUUUGUUAUUUUUUGGUUUUUAUUUGAUAAUUAAUUAAAUAAUUAUUCUAAAAUUAAAUAAUUUAGAAGGGGGCUUAUCACAAGCUGCCAGCCUGCCACGUGGCAUUAUUAGCCUUAAUGACUAACGGUGUUAACGUCCGUUAGUCAUUAAUGGUAUGUUGUGACAUUUACCAAAAACUCAGUGGUAUUUGGUGUAUUAAAAAAAUUUGUGUGGUAUAUGAUGAAUUUUCGAAAAAACUCAAUGGUAUUUCAUGAAAAAUCCGUUUAAUUAAGUGAAUAAAAAAAAAUAAUCUGAUCUGUUACACGGAUUUACCAUGUGUAAAAUAUCCAACCUUAGAUCUCCCUAUCCUCUUUCCCUCAAACAGUCAAACCCUAAAAUUUACCAGCACUCUUCAUCUAUUAGCCGCCCUCCUUUUUCUCUCUCUAUUAUUUUAAUCCCUAAUUUCUCACUUCUUCCUCAUCUUCAAUCCUUUUUCUCUUCUUCUCUCGAACUUUUCCCUUCCCCCACCGCCUCCAAAAUCCAGCAUCGGUUCAAGCUCCGAUUCGAAUUUCGGUACCUAUUCAACAACGUCAAGCAACAACAACCACCGCAACAACAACAACUAUCAAUGCCACCAGCAGCAACAACAAUUCCAUCAUCCACUACCAAUUUGUUGCUUUCGAUGAUGGUGCGUACAGGUACAUCAAUGGAGGCAAUGUAGAUUGAAGAGUAGUAGAUCAACUUACAUCCCACUUUUUUUUUCUUUCUAAUUUUUUACAAAAUCAUUGUUUAUUGAUUGAAGUAUUAAUGAUUACUUAUAUUUUUUAGUUUUUAGUGUAAGGCCCUUUUCUCUUCACCAUAAUUUCAGUCAGUAAAAAUAAUUUCAGUCAGUAAGAAUUAUAAUAGAAAUUUUGUAAAAAUAAUUUCUGUUCAGUAAAAUGAAGUUCAGUUUAGUAAAAAUAAUUUUAGUUCCUUAAAAUUAAGGUGAAUCAAACCGGGUCUAACAUAUGUAUAAUAUUUUGCAAGUAUGAACUACUUGUAUUUCUUUAUUGGAGGAAUCAUAUCUUUGUUUGAUUAGGAAUUA